AUUACGUCUUUCCGCGAAGGUCGGUUUAUUAAUUCUAGAGCUUGAAGCUAUAUAGUGCUGAAGCUUCAUCAUACAAAUAAAUAGCGGAAGCAAACGAAUUUAGAGGAUCAAAAGCGAUGUUUACUUGAUUCAAAAGGUGACCAGCAUCUUUUACAAGCCGUUAAAAUAACGAAAACUACCAAAUUCCGUUUCAAAAGCUUUGAAAAAGCAUCGGAACUGUCGAAAACAAAGGAGUCUAGUCGAGAAAUAAUUAGUUUCAAAACAGUUGAAAUAAUUCCCAAACAUGGGUCUCGGGUACGAACUACCAACGAAAAAAUCUCAAAGCGCCAAUGACAGAGGAGCUGCUUAUGGAGCAUGGGUCACAAAAUAUAAUAACAGUCAGCAACAGACAUUUUCCUGGAAGGCAGCUAAUGAUGACAAUAAAGCUAAAAGCAAUGCAGCCAAUGGAAACAACCCUUGGGGCCCAAUAUUUAAAAAUAAGAAGAAUUUUGUUGACAUGCAUUUUUGUUAAUUUAAUGUCUCCCGUGUCAGUCCUAUGAAUAUGUUUGCAGUUUUUAUUUGUGUAAUAUCUAAAAAUUAAAUGUGAAGCUAAAUUAAGCUUAUAUGAAUUUCUCCAUAUUAAUUUAUUGCAAGCAAAAAUUAAAAAUUUUAACGGCA